UUAAACUUACAUUGCUUUGUUAUCACCACAGUUCUGACGCCUUACACAGCAGUUUUUCCUUUAAAAUAAAUCCUCGGGACAGAAGAUAAAACAAAUGCCAUGCUCUGGUGACUGGCAUAUACCAACUAGAGGCAUAUUCACAUGAGAAAACUGCUUGACAAAUAUUUCAUCUAUCUGAGAUAUUUUCCAGCUGAGUUGCCUUGCUAUUCUGUUCCCACCACAUUCUCUGCAUUGCACAGUGGAAAAGCAAAGACAUUUAACUUCUGCUGUGGACUGGGAACUUCAGAUGCUAAAAAACAGAAGAAUAUCAUUCUGCUCCUCCAUUCACCUAGUGGCAAUCAUCACAGUUUGACCAUACACUGCAGGAUAAUCAGCUCAGGAACUGCAAGGCUAGUUUUGAGAUAUGUCUAAAUUGACGUGGAAAAAAGACAUAGGGAUGUGCUCAGAUCAAUGACUGUGCUUUGGUUUAGUCUGAGGAUGAAACAGUGGCAGCUCAACAAUGAGUAUUUGGACACUGAGUGAGAAGUCUCUGGUGUUCUGGACAGAGCUCCUCAAGAUUGGAUGAAGUUAACAGAUUUGGAGGUAGCAGUUUUAAGAGGUGAGAAACUGAAGCAAAUGCUGCAGGCCAUGAUGAGAUGAUCAGAAGCUCUAGCUUGCUAGUGGUGUGGUCAUUUUGUAAGUGACUGCAGAGAGAAGAAGCUCCUUGCUUCACUCCUUGUCACACUAAGACACAAUCCCCUUACCUCUUUUCGUUGGAUUUCUGGGUCUGACGGAAUUACAAAGCAAAUUUUGCUUUCGAGGAUCAAAA